CCUAAAAUUAGGGACUGGAACCGUCCUCUGCCUCACCGUCCCUUCUCUCGACCCUGCCAUCUUCUCCCUCCCUCUCUCUCUCAAUGAGUAAGGAUAGCUGGUUAAGCGGCGCCGAUGAAGGUGAAUGUUCGAGCGCUUCCUGAGACCAGCGAUACUCAUUCAAUCGUCUGACCGAGCGUUUCUUCCUCUCAUUUUCUCAUGGGUUUCGCUCUUGUCAAGAUUCGAUACAUUUCUCUUUUGCUCUCUCAUUCUUUGAUUGGAACGCUUCGCUUUUGUUUUCUCGGAACUCAUUUUCUUUCACCUUGCAGAUUGCGUUUCGUUGGUGCGAGAAAGCCGGUGAUGUGGUGUUGAGGAGUAUGACUUUUUGGUCUCUCUUCUUUCCUCAGUACCUCCCAUAACUAGCAAUACCAUUCAGUGAAACCCUACCGGAUGAUAUUUAAUUCACUUUUGAAUGUCAUCCCUGUUAACGCUGGAACAUUUUUUUCUCUUUCUAUUCCCUCUGUUUAUUCUUACUUUUUUUUUUUACUUGUUUUCUUCUGUUUAUUUAACUACUUGUUGAGCCUCGUCUCUCCUGAUAACCCCAUCUAAACUUUCUUUUCCUGGUUUGUUUCCACUGCUCUGUGGUAGAAACAACUCAAGGUCCAAAAGAGGUCUGAAAAGAAGGCUGCUUGCAGCUGUAUAGCCAGACAUAGUCAGGUGCCUGCCGCCCUUUGGGUCAUGGAGGCACUUGUUCCAUGAUGGUCCAACACCACUUUCCUUGCAAACCUCUAAUUUCUUCUCUAAAAGAGUGUUCCUCUUUGUUGUUUCAGCCAUCUUUGUUGUUUUAGGCAUCGGCUUUUUAAAGCCUUUAAAUUUAUCAAAUGGUUGCAGAUAUCUUGAUCUGCAGGAGAGCUAUGAUAUAUGUGUAUCCUUAAUUUUCAUGUGACACUGAUCGACUUUUCGCUUUUGAAAAUGGAUUUCGUCAAGCGGCAUGGAAAUGAUUAUACUCGGACGAUACCGGUGUUUUGGGUACUCUGCCAACAUAAACCAGGCCUAAUUUCAUUAAAGAUGCAGAAACAUUUUAAGAAAAAAGAAGGGUUUGGGUAAACGUAAUUUAGUUUUCUACCCUUAAUAAAUAACUUUCUGUUAAGUUCUGUAACUCGCAUUAGUAAUUUAUGAAAUGGGUUCAAUGAUUUUGAUUGUCACUAGUUUUUUGACUUUUUGUUUUUUCUCUUAUUUUCCUCCCUUUUCUUUAUUUUUUGCUUAUUUCCCCUUACAUUUAUGUUUUCCUGCCCAGGCCUGGUGGAUCUUAGAAAAGAGUUUCCUAAAGCAAUUCAUUUACAUCAUUUCACCAGUAAUUCAUAUAUGUAAGUCCUAUCGGCCUGAGUUUUUUCUAUUACAAAAACUGUGCCUAGUCCUUCUUUGGCCGGCUCUGCAUCGUUUUGAUUACUUCAAAGAGCUCUAUUUAGCUCUCUAAAACUGAUUGUGUUAUUUUUGUUA